AUCAACACCAUCACCACCAACAUCAUCAUUAUUAUGAAAACACGUUCGACAAGUGCCAUCAGCACCUCAUAACAUCCACAUUCAAUGACAAAGCCAACUCACAAAACCGUUUCUAAAAUUUUAUUGAAACCGCAAUCCAAGAUGAUCGAGUUAAAGAAACACCAUCAACAUCAGUUCAUAAAAAAACAGUUUGCUGCGUCUACUCUUGGUUUGCUGGAGUUACAAUAUCGUCACGGAAUGGCGAUCAGAUAAAUUAUAUGCCAUUGCUUGAAGGAUGAAAAGAUGUUACUCAAGUUACUCAUAAAUGGCAUACUGAAUUGGCAAGUUUCUGAUGGUGGCAUUGAUUAUCAAAUCUCAAGAAAUGGCGAGGAUAAUGAUGCUUCUUCAUAGGCAAACGCCUUAAAUUUAAUGGUAAAUUUACCGUAAGCCGGAAUUAUUUUGCAUCAUUUUAGCUUAAUUUGAAGCCAUUUGCUUUAAUAAUGUGAACCAAAUUUCAUUAAUUACCCAAAAUCCCAUUCAACUGAAGCCAACUAUUUUUAGCAAAUGUGUUAAAUUGUCGUUCAAAUUGUCCUGGUUACAGUUAACUGCAAUACUUUGAUACCUGAGAGUCAUGACAAUUGAGAAAAAAAUAUUCAUGUUGCACCAAACUGAAUGUAAAAGCUUGAAUCAUUUUACAAGGUCGAUCAACAAGGCGACUCUUUGAUUUUUCUUUCUCAUGGAAUCUCAAAAGAAUCUUUAUCUUUCCAAAUUAUCAGUAUUGAUUUGAUGUUAAGCAUGGUGAGGACGGAAAAUUAGUCAAUAUUGGACUAUUCAACUGGUCUGGUUAGAGCUAAUGAAACGUCCCAAAUUGAAUAAUUGUUGAUUUUACUAUCUAUUGCUUCCAAUCAACUCUUCAGUCACAUAAAUCACGCUCAGCUUGAUUGGUUAUGAACAAUAUAAUUUUUUCAUCUUUCCCUUGAUUGUCAUCAAAACAGUUACUCUCUUCAACGUCACAAUUUUUGAUUGGACCCUUAUAAAAUGGAGUAUGAGUUCACCAAGAAAAGAUGACAAUCAUGAAAUCAA